rnacentral:misc_RNA from 1 species
UAGAGGAAGUAAAAGUCGUAACAAGGUUUCCGUAGGUGAACCUGCGGAAGGAUCAUUAUCGAACCGUGGAGGGGGAAGGAGGACACUGUCGCUGGCUUGGAUCUCUGAGCAUGUGCACGUCAAUCCUUUCUCUGAAACGCACGUACAACACACCUGUGCACUCGUUGUAGGUCCUUGAGAUAGAGGAUCUACGUUUCUCAUCAUCACACACGUCGUAUGUCUAGAAUGCGUUCAGAACGUCGAAUCUACUUCGAUGCUCGAUAAACGAAUACAACUUUCAGCAACGGAUCUCUUGGCUCUCGCAUCGAUGAAGAACGCAGCGAAUUGCGAUAAGUAAUGUGAAUUGCAGAUUUUCAGUGAAUCAUCGAAUCUUUGAACGCACCUUGCGCUCCUUGGUAUUCCAAGGAGCAUGCCUGUUUGAGUGUCAUCGAAUUCUCAACCAUGUCUCGAUCGACUUCGAGACCUUGGCUUGGAGUUGGGAGUUGCUGGUGGUGAAGGCCGUCAGCUCUCCUGAAAUGCAUUAGCAAAGGAUGGGCGAGUCUUCGUGUGACGGCCUUGGACGUGAUAAUGAUCGUCAUGGCUGGAGCACCUCUGGAUGCCGCUUCGGUCUUUUUGCUUCUAAAGCGUCCUGCAGUCGUAGUGCAGUCAGUCUUUCGAAACUUGACCUCAAAUCAGGUAGGACUACCCGCUGAACUUAAGCAUAUCAAUAAGCGGAGGAAAAGAAACUAACAAGGAUUCCCCUAGUAACUGCGAGUGAAGCGGGAAGAGCUCAAAUUUCGAAUCUGGCGGUCUUUGGUCGUCCGAGUUGUAAUCUAGAGAAGCGUCUUCCGCGCUGGACCGUGUACAAGUCUCCUGGAAGGGAGCGUCGUAGAGGGUGAGAAUCCCGUCUUUGACACGGACUGCCAGUGCUAUGUGAUGCGCUCUCGACGAGUCGAGUUGUUUGGGAAUGCAGCUCAAAAUGGGUGGUAAAUUCCAUCUAAAGCUAAAUACAGGCGAGAGACCGAUAGCGAACAAGUACCGUGAGGGAAAGAUGAAAAGAACUUUGGAAAGAGAGUUAAACAGUACGUGAAAUUGCUGAAAGGGAAACGCUUGAUGUCAGUCGCGUCGUCCGGGGAUCAACCUUGCUUCUCGCUGGGUGUACUUCCUGGUCGACGGGUCAGCAUCAGUUUCGAUCGCCGUACAAGGGCCAAGGGAACGUGACACUCUUCGGAGUGUGUUAUAGCCUUUCGUCGCAUGCGGUGAUCGGGACUGAGGAACUCAGCA